AUGUCUUUGGCGUCGGUUGGGUUCGUUUUAAUUUUCUGCGCAAAAACGCCUAUAAAAAUGCCCCGUUUUACGAAUUUUUACCGCACCCAGAGAACGUUUAAGACUCGAUAACGAACCUACGCAUAAAAUAUCAGAUGAACUUUAUCAACCAAUAUUGAAAAUGGGGCUUUGACUAGUCAAAGGAGGAAAGUCCUCCUUUGUUGUCUGAUUCGCAAGCCACCAAUUCAAACAACCAUACAGGCACCUUGAUCAUUCAAUUUCUAGCCACAUAUUCUACCUAUACUUUAUUAUAAAAACCUCCACCCAACCAUUUUAAUCAGAUUUUUGCACAUACAAGCUCAAGAACAAAGAUUUUGGUACUAUACCCAGAAAGUCAGCGCAAAUGGAUCUCGGAAUCUAGGCCUAACGAGUAAUACGCGGAAAGGUGUGGAUUAGCAUACUUUGAUAGCCUAGUACUUGUGCAACCUGUAACCAGGACACUACGUGACGACCCCCUUUGUGUUAGCUGCUUGUGAAGUUUAUGUGCGAUACUAUGUGGAUCUGCUACUUUGCUAAAUAAAACGGUUCAUGGAAACUCGCGUAGUAUCUAGCUAAAAUAUGUAACAGUAAUGUGUAAUAGCGAUACGUAAAACAAUGAUGUAUCAUAUUGUUUAAUUAAUGUUUAAUAGAGUAUCUUUAUAACAAUGACUCAAACCAGAAGUGUUUGUUGCAUCCCUUUUUAUCGUUUCCGCUGCUAGUCGGGGUGUGAC
rnacentral:lncRNA from 1 species